rnacentral:sRNA from 1 species
UCAAAAAUAGCCUUGUUCAAUUCAUGUGA